AGGUUAAACCACAAGGAGUGAUCAUUGUACCUAUCCCCUGCCUCGGGAUGCGGCUCCAUUCCGGAAACCUAGCUGGCCUCCUGCUUCUCUUGCUCUAGGGACCUCCCCUCCAAGCUAGCGCGCUCCUCUCCAACAUCUCGAGGCUGCGGCCCCUUUAAGGCGGCCAUGGAGGACCCAGUUUCAGAGCUAAGGAGAUCUUCUAGCUGCCGUCUCUGUGGUAAGCCGUCCCUUACGGCCGGAAGUGCGUGUUCAGACCUACUUUUCACUCUAGACUGGGAAGGCAGGGACGCCACGUGUUCUGUGGUGUCAGAGGGGCUGUGCUCGCUCGCUCCCACCCGCUGGCCGAACCCCAAACCCGCAGAAUGACGCUGGUCAGCGGCGCCAGUUCCCGCCCUGGGGCGCUGACGAAGCUCCCGGCAACCGGACUUAAGGAAUCACUCCCAGCAUAGAAAUUGUGCCUUGGACGGAAGAGGCCAAAAGCAGGCACCAGGAUCGGGGGCUUUAUCAGAAGAUGAACGCUCUCUGGCCCCCGGCGAUUGGAUGAAGGCCUGCAAUCUUUGCUUCUCCUCUGCGGUGAGCCUAGAGCAUAUUCGGAGUGACGUCAGUUUGGGGGAAUCCAGCCUACUCCGUGAAGCAUCAUUCCUCCUCCUGUCUGCCUGUUUUGCUGUCAGCACACUGAUGGAGAAGCGAUCCUUCAUCACAUUGAAGUACCUACAGUGGUCAAAGCGUUAUGCCUCUGCUUUGGAGGGAAUGUCAAGAAAAGCGUGGUCCCUGGUGUUGCGGGGUUUGGGGUGCAGAGAGGUAGACAGCAGAAAGUGCCGGACCCCAGGAAUGCGAGUUUUCAGUGGGACCUGGCAGGAUGUAACCCUGUGAGGAAGUGAAGGCCGUUUCCAUCUGAUGAAAUGUGACAGAAGGUGAGUUCACUGGAAGAGGUGUGUGCUUGCCGAGUGAAAACCUGCUGAGUUUGUUUCUGCCUGGUUCUCUGUGCCUGAAAUACAGUAGUUGUGUUUUAGCA